GCAUCUGUGGCUCAGAGGAGUAGAGCACUGGCCUCAUAUGCCAGAGGUGGCGAGUUCAAAUCCAGCCAUGGCCA
rnacentral:tRNA from 1 species